CUUAAGGUAGCUUAACUGGUAAAGUCUUAGCUUGUCGAGCUGAUUUAUGAGGGUUCAAAUCCCUUCCUUUGGA
rnacentral:tRNA from 1 species